rnacentral:rRNA from 1 species
AUGCUGAUGUUUUUUUUUGAAGAAUUGGACAUGCCAAUCCAGCAACACUUUGACAAUGACAAAGAAAUGCAACCAGACCAAACCAUGUUAUCUGCUAAUGAUGAGCAAUUCGACAUAUGUGCAGGUGAUGAACAGAUUGACAUAUGUGCAGGUCUAUUGCCAGUAAAUGUAGGAGAAACUUACUCUAGGCGGAGAGGGACAAAAUUACCACUUAUUAGUGUGCAAGUCGUUGACACUGGAGUGGUCGAUGAGAUGUUACUUGAAAAGAUGGCAAGUCCUGCUGAAAGUGCUCAAGUCAGCGCAUCAUCUGCUCAUGAAACACCGAGAGAAGUUUGUGCAAGUGCUGUUAAGUUGGAGGCACACUUUACUGCAGCUGAAGUUGCUAUACCUGCUAAGUUGCAAAUUAGAAGAAGGGCAGUGGCAAAAUCUACUGAACAUGUUCCAGCAACAAAAGCACCUCAUGUUGCUCCAACAGUUGGUGCAGAUCAUGAGAUUUCAACCGAACAUGUUCCGGCAAUAGAAGCACCUCCUGUUGACAAAUCAGAUGAAGAGGAUACUGAUUAUGAACCAAUACCUGAUUGCAGUUCUGGAGAGGAUUCGGAGGCAGAGGAACUGAGAAAACUUGCAAGAGAGAUUAGGAGGAAUGAGAGAGCUAAGAAGCUAGGACAAAGAAGUGGAAUUAUAAUGCAAAACAAUAAAGUGCAAUGUAAAUCUGAUGAGGAUUUGGAUGCUGGUUUUGAAACUCCAUAUUUUGACUCUGAUGAGGAUGAUUUCUCUUAUGAUGAAGAAAGUGAUGGAGAAGGAGGUACCACUAUGGUAAGAAGGAAGAGCAAGUGGCCUAGGUUUGAUAGCAAAGCUGAAAAACCCAACUUUCAACUUGGCAUGGUUUUCCGAAGCAGAGAGCACAUGAAGAAAGCAGUGAUUUCCUAUGGAAUUAAAACUCACAGGCAUUUGUUGUUCAGCAAAGAUGAACAUGACAAAGUUAGAGCUUACUGUUCUUAG